rnacentral:rRNA from 1 species
GCUGGCGGCAUGGAUUAGGCAUGCAAGUCGAGCGCGAAAGUUUCUUCGGAAUACGAGUAGAGCGGCGCAAGGGUGAGUAACGCGUGAGCGAUCUGCCCCCGACUGCGGGAUAGCCCCGGGAAACCGGGAUUAAUACCGCAUGGUGAUGAUCAUUCGAUUGAUCAUCUAAAGGUUGACUCCGGUCGGGGAUGAGCUCGCGUCCCAUUAGCUUGUUGGUAGGGUAACGGCCUACCAAGGCCGAGACGGGUAGCUGGUCUGAGAGGACGGUCAGCCACACUGGGACUGAGACACUGCCCAGACUCCUACGGGAGGCUGCAGUCGAGAAUCUUCCGCAAUGGGCGCAAGCCUGACGGAGCGAUGCCGCGUGAGGGAUGACGGCCUUCGGGUUGUAAACCUCUGUCAGGGGGGACGAAAACAAUGACGGUACCCCCAGAGGAAGCCACGGCUAACUACGUGCCAGCAGCCGCGGUAAUACGUAGGUGGCGAGCGUUAUUCGGAAUUACUGGGCGUAAAGGGUCCGCAGGGGGUCUGUCAAGUCCGGCGUGAAAGCCCGAGGCUCAACUUCGGGUCGGCGUUGGAUACUGACGGACUUGAGUGCACGAUGGGAGAGCAGAAUUCCUGGUGUAGCGGUGGAAUGCGUAGAUNUCAGGAAGAAUACCGGCGGCGAAGGCGGCUCUCUGGCGUGCUACUGACCCUCAGGGACGAAAGUGUGGGUAGCGAACAGGAUUAGAUACCCUGGUAGUCCACACCGUAAACGUUGUGUACUAGAUGCGGGCGGCGCUCCGGUGUUGUCCGUGUCCAAGUUAACGCGAUAAGUACACCGCCUGGGGACUACGGCCGCAAAGGCUAAAACUCAAAGGAAUUGACGGGGGCCCGCACAAAGCGGUGGAGCAUGUGGCU